GCCUUUGUGAGAAACAGCCGAACCAGGCCUUUCUGUGAGAAACAGACGAACCAGGCCUUUCUGUGAGAAACAGACGAACCAGGCCUUUCUGUGAGAAACAGCCGAACCAGGCCUUUCUGUGAGAAACAGCCGAACCAGGCCUUUCUGUGAGAAACAGCCGAACCAGGCCUUUCUGUGAGAAACAGACGAACCAGGCCUUUCUGUGAGAAACAGCCGAACCAGGCCUUUCUGUGAGAAACAGCCGAACCAGGCCUUUCUGUGAGAAACAGUGGAAUUGUUAUCUGUUAUUGUUCAAUACUGGAAAUGAUGUUAAGACCAAGAAGUCACGGGAGAUUUGUCUGGCCUAGCUGGUCCAGAUUUCCUCACAACACGACAGAUAAUUUGCAUCACAAAGAUCACGUGUUGUCAUUGAUAAAUGGGAAAUGUUUCUGUGUCUCUGUUGUAGAA